UGGAAGAAUAAGGUGUUGCUGAAGGGUU
rnacentral:piRNA from 1 species